GGGGAUUAGGUUCCUGGAAGCUGGAAAGGGGGGGGGGGAGGGAGCAAAACCACACACACAAACCCCACAAUAAAACCCCUACUGUGCUCCAGGUGUCCAGCUGUCCAGGAAUGUGUCCCCCAGAAGAUAGGAAAACCCUACACACAAAAGGUUCUGGAUUGCAGCACAUAUAAAUCCACACAGAGGUGGGGUUUUUUCGUGCUGAUAUGCCUGAUAUGAAACAUCUGUGACUCUCAACCAAACAUAGUAGCUAGCAGUAUCUCCAGGGCCUUGUCAUCUAAUUCAGCUUUUGGCUUUCUUUCAUUUUGGGUUUGAAGACGGAUUGCUUUACAAGUAAAUAAAGACAGUUUGCCUACUGCAAGAGCACAUUCUUGGUUGCCAUUACAAAUCCCAGAUGGUCGAACUAAAGGAGGAACACCAACACCCUUCAUUCUGUUGCCUAUGCAAGCUGUCCUGUUUCCAUAUUUGCAUCCCUGCCUACCACAGUAACUAUCUUCUGCUCCACCUC